CAUUUAUAGUUUCAGACAUGGAAUCGCCGAUAUCGGCGGUAGACGUAAAGCCUAAGCGGA
rnacentral:sRNA from 12 species